UCCGGUUUGGCACCGGCAGUCCUCGCAGAGUCCCCGGCAUUACCCGCUGGCAACUAAAAGCAGGGGUUGCGCUCGUUGCGGCACUUAAGCCAACACCUCACGGCACGAGCUUACGACAGCCAUGCAGCACCUGUGCUAGCCCCUUACGGACACCGGCUUUCACCGGCUUUAACUAGCAUGUCAAGCCUAGGUAAGGUUCUUCGCGUUGCAUCGAAUUAAGCCACAUGCUCCGCCGCUUGUGCGGGCCCCCGUCAAUUUCUUUGAGUUUUAACCUUGCGGCCGUACUCCCCAGGCGGAUGACUUAACGCGUUAGCUGCGCCACCUGAACGCUAAGCGCCCAGACAGCUAGUCAUCAUCGUUUACGGCGUGGACUAC
rnacentral:misc_RNA from 1 species